rnacentral:rRNA from 1 species
UUAGUCUUUUAAUUUGAGACUGGAAUGAAAGAGUAAACUGAGAAAACUUUUUUUCAAUUAAAAAAAUAAAAUUUACUUUUUAGUAAGAAGGCUAAAAUAAAGCUUUUAGACAAGAAGACCCUAUAAAACUUUAUAUUUUCUUUCUUAAAUGAAGAGAGAAGUAUUUUACUGGGGCGGUAGAGAAAAAAGCUUUCUCAAAAUAAAAAGACUUUCUUGUUUUGAUACCUAGAAUUUCUAAAAUUGGAAUGAGUUACUUUAGGGAUAACAGCUUAAUUUAUUUAGAAAGAUCAAAUUGACAAGUAAGUUUAUGACCUCGAUGUUGAAUUAAAAGACCUUUUUUGUCAA